rnacentral:tRNA from 1 species
GCCCCAGUGGCCUAAUGGACAAGGCACUGGCCUCCUAAGCCAGGGUUGUGGGUUCAAGUCCCACCUGGGGUU